rnacentral:rRNA from 1 species
GACGAACGCUGGCGGCGUGCCUAAUACAUGCAAGUAGAACGCUGAAGGAGGAGCUUGCUCUUCUGGAUGAGUUGCGAACGGGUGAGUAACGCGUAGGUAACCUGCCUGGUAGCGGGGGAUAACUAUUGGAAACGAUAGCUAAUACCGCAUAACAGUAGAUGUUGCAUGACAUUUACUUAAAAGGUGCAAUUGCAUCACUACCAGAUGGACCUGCGUUGUAUUAGCUAGUUGGUGGGGUAACGGCUCACCAAGGCGACGAUACAUAGCCGACCUGAGAGGGUGAUCGGCCACACUGGGACUGAGACACGGCCCAGACUCCUACGGGAGGCAGCAGUAGGGAAUCUUCGGCAAUGGACGGAAGUCUGACCGAGCAACGCCGCGUGAGUGAAGAAGGUUUUCGGAUCGUAAAGCUCUGUUGUAAGAGAAGAACGAGUGUGAGAGUGGAAAGUUCACACUGUGACGGUAGCUUACCAGAAAGAGACGGCUAACUACGUG